rnacentral:rRNA from 1 species
GGUUUUGUCUCGUUGGUCACGGUGUUGCGUUCGCGUCGCAGCGACGAAGAACGCUCGGGGGACUUCGUGGGGAGAGCGGGGGCGCGAGACGUUGCGUCGGAAGUGAGCCUCGCACGUUUGACGGAUCGAUGGCCCGAAGGGCACGCCAUCAGCCAGGCAGGCCUCGGGGCGUCGAUCCGGAGUGGGCUUACGUUCCCUCCCGAUGGAGGACGUGUCGUCGUCGUCCGUUGAGGAUAGGCGAGCCGCGAAGGGAGCGUGUACGCCUGGGUGAAAGAGAGUCACGGAGCUCUACGUUCGCGGUCAAACGGCUUUUAAAACACAAAGGCUGGACGCGAGGGGGACAUACGAGGGCCGCUGUUUUCUUCCCCGGGCCAUCAGGUUCCGCGGGAGGGAGGGAGGGGAUGGCUGGGUGCAGCUCUCCUCUCCCGUCGCACGUGUUCUAGGCGAACGGCUGCCGUCGGCCUGCGGGUUGCAGGGUACGUCGUCGCUUCGGGCAGAUGCGGGGGGCAUUGAGGCGAACAGCUGCGGUGCUGGUGCUUCGCGGGAUGUCGUCCCGCGCACCCGUGGGUUGCGUAGCAGGGUCCUCGUUCGCAGGGUGGUCGGCAUCACCCUUGUCCGGACGUCGACGCUUGGUCGCAUCCGCCGGGUGGCGCUUGCUUCUCUUUCCCCAAUGCAAGGGUGCGAGUGGCACCAAGGAUCGAGGAACGUCCGCCGCGGCGGUCAACCGGGGUUGGUGACCCCAA